AUCAAUACGUCGUUGGUCACCGAUCGCAUCGCAUGUAACGUUCAAAAUGGUGCGCAAAGAGGUAUUGUUUUUAAUUUGCUUGUGGCUCGCGUUUUGCUAUGGGUCAACGAUCAGAAGACUAGCGUCGUACGACGAUGACGAUGAUGGUGGCGGAAUGUUUUUUCCAGAUCAACUUAUGAAUGCGAUAGCUUCAACAACUGAAGAUCCUGAGAUUAUUGAAAAAAGAAUAAUUUCCGUUGGCUCUAACUGUGCCCCAAACCAGGAUGUGGUUAAUGGAAAAUGCAGAAGAAAGUUUGGCAAACCUUAGCAAAGUGACCAUUAUGGUGAUAAAAACACAGACUGAAAUUUAGUGCUAAGAAAUAUCAUCGAAAGCCGGUACCUACCUACAAUACUCGUCUUUGUAGUACCUUAGAUUUAAAUUAAAAUUAAGAUAAUAAUUACAGUUUAUAUAGUACGAGUAAUUACACAUUAUUUAUAAAAUAUACCUAGUUUUGCUGCA